rnacentral:misc_RNA from 1 species
GAUGAAGAACGCAGCGAAAUGCGAUAAGUAGUGUGAAUUGCAGAAUUCAGUGAAUCAUCGAAUCUUUGAACGCACAUUGCGCCCCUUGGUAUCCCGAGGGGCAUGCCUGUUCGAGCGUCAUUUCAACCCUCAAGCACAGCUUGGUCUUGGGCUUCGCCGCUAACCCGGCGGGUCUUAAAAUCAGUGGCGGUGCCGUCGGGCCCUGAGCGCAGUAAUCUCUCUCGCUAUAGGGUCCCGGCGGAUGCUGGCCAGUAACCCCCAAUUUUCUAUGGUUGACCUCGGAUCAGGUAGGGAUACCCGCUGAACUUAAGCAUAUCAAUAAGCGGAGGA